UUUCACCCCCUUCCGCCGCCGCCCCUUCCACUAUAGGGCGCCACCGCCCCUUCCGCCGCCGCCCUUGCACGGCACGGCGACGCCGCCCCCCGCCGCCAGGAGCCCAGGACGGACGCUCCGAUGCCUCCUCGUGCGGCCGCGCCACCGCUGUGCUGCGUGCUGGUCAAGCGACCCCAGCCGUCCAGGGGACGCCAUCGCCGCCGCCUGGUCUCCAGCGUCCAGCCAUCCAGCCGCUGCAGGUCCAGCUACUCCAGCCCUCCCUCCGCUACACACUGCGGACCAGGAGUUCCAGCUAGCGGACCAGGACGACGGAUGGUCGCCUUCCUCCGCUCCUGACCAGGACGACCGAUGGUCGCCUUCCUCCGCUCCCGACCAGGACGCCAGGACCACCGACGCUGGUAAUAUGAUCUCUUCCUUCUCCACUCUGAUUACCAAUUCUUCUAUUCUAUCCUAGCAUCCAUAUGUGAUACGUCAACUUGUGAAGUUUGUGAACUAGAACUACUAAACUGUGUUGCUUUUGCUGACCUGAUGACAAUAGUUGAUAAAGAAUUAGAGAGAUUGGGGAAAAGAAUUAGAGAUUGGUAUUUGGUAAUUUAUAUUUCAGUUUUAUUGUGUUGCUAUUUGGUGUUCUGAGCUUAUGAGGAAGACUUGUUUGAGACUAUGAGAAAGACUUUUUUUUUUACGAAUGACUAUGAGAAAGACUUACAUUUGAUUGAGUACUGAUUCUGGUUUGCUAUUUAGUGUUGGUGAUGUGAUGAAGUAUAUGGUGAUACGGUGAUUUAUAUCUCAUUUUGUCCUUUUUGUGACAGAGAACUAGAGAUUAUUAGUGUAUAUGAUGAGCGAUGCUGCUCUUCUGCUGCAGGUACGUGAACAGGGGCGGCGUUGACAACACUGGCCUCCUCCAGCAGCAAAUCUUCGCCCCGCUCCUGCUCCAAGCUCCUUUAGCGACCUCACCACCUCGCCUGCUGCCUGCUUCGUGCUCAGCUCGCCUACGAGAUGUUCGAUCAAUUGACCAAACCGAGCCAAGCCAAGUCUGCCUCUCUUGCCUGGGCAUGGACGACGACCAGGUACUUCCCAUCAUCAAGUAGUCGAGUACCAGAAGCGACGCUGACAGAGAGGAAGAGGCUACAUAAGGAUUCUUGUGUCCCAAAAGGUAUGUUCCUUUUUGCCUAUUCAUGUUCCAUGCAUUACCUGGCUUACGGUGUCCAGUCAACUCAGCUCACAGUGAUCAAUGAUUGAUCAAUAUUAACACGAUUUGAUUUUCAAUUUAAAGCGGAACCUACUAGAUUAUUGGAUGUUUGGAUGGUCGAUAUAUGUCACUCUCUGACUCUUAGUUCCUUCUAUCUUUGCGUUUUUUUUACUAUAAUGUGCGAUUGAGAUAUCAACUCUACAGUUUCUAUCAUGGCGAAGCAAAAGAACGUGGAAUUAGUGAUGGCGAAACUUUAAAAUGCUUUGCAUCAUUAGGGUUGUUAUUAUUACGUCAUCGCGUACAUUUUUUUGCCAUUCUAUAUUUCUAAAAUAUAAUUAUUUCCAUGGUUGAUGCGUAUUUUGGAUGUGUGUGUGCACUUGGUUCUUUUAUAAUCAAGGUAAUUAGUAGGGCUAAAUCAUGAGAUAAACCGAGCUGAUGAUGAAACAUGUAUAUAUAUCAUCAUAAGACUAUUUUUCUAUUUGAAGAACUGCAAGGGAACAAAUGAAAUAAAUGUGUAUUUUUUCAAAAAACUACAGUUUUAGCAAUCUUGGUGUACGAUACUAUUUUUUCCUAGAGAUAUAUGUUGUUUUCCUGGUAUGUUUGGUGUACGAUACUAUUUUUUCUGGCCCUCUUGUGUUUCUGUCUAGUUUGUGCAGUUAAGCGUAUGUGUGCUGGAUCAUACAUGUUAUAUGUACUUGACAAAUAUGAACUUAGCACCAACUAAGAAAUCUCAUGUUCUAUCAUAAAGCACUAAGUUGACAAUAUAUUAUAAUUACAGUCCAUAUAUGUAUUGAAAAUAACCUGACUCUUCUGAUUUAUAAUGAACUUCUGCUCAUGCGCUUCAGUGAAUCUUAUUUUGCAGGAAAUUUUUGCAAGUGAAGGUGAAGGAUUGUUCUAAACUGGCAGAUGAAGCUAUGCGUUCUUUUAGUGGACUUUUAUAUGUUUGCAUAGUUUUUGCUCUUCAAACAUGAAGCUUAGAAAAUUUCAGAAAAUUGUUACUAAGUUAAGCUUCAUGUAUGACAGAUUGUCAUUGGAGAUAGAUACACUUUAUGUUAGAUUUACCGUCUUGUAAACUAAACUUAUGUUGUUCGAAAUUGAUGUUUUGAUUAAUUUGGGAUUUUUGUUUCGUGUCAAAACCUGGACGUCUGAUUCGAUGGUUUCUUCUUUG
rnacentral:lncRNA from 1 species